rnacentral:lncRNA from 1 species
AGUGGUGGUGUUGUUUUCGGGUGCAGAGGCAGCGCCAGUGCCGAAAUGUGAUAACCCUUUGGAGUAUAGCUCAUGCUUGAAUGCGUAUAAGAAGCCACCUCCAUCAGCCGGUUGUUGCCAGAAGAUGAAGGAACAAGCACCAUGCUAUUGCGAGUACAUGAAGAUAGAAGAUGUCAAACGUGUUUUUGACAGAGUUGAGAUUGCGAAAAUGGCUAAAUUGUGUGGAGUUUCAUAUUCUUUCACCUGCUAGAAUCCCGUUUGGUUUCAUUUGACUCUCUCUGGCUAGGAUAACUUGGCAUCUCAAUAAAUGACAAUUUUAUUUGAAAACUAUUUUUUUACUCAUAAUUUCGACUAUAAUGUACUUGUGUUCCGUUUUUUUUGGAAUGAUACUAGUGGUUUGCUAUCAUUUACCUUUAUUGUCUUGAUUCAUAUUACAUAUGUGCUAAAAGAACUACACAAUGAUCUAGAUCUUGUUUGAAUCAUAUUGGAUUGGUUAGAUUGGAAAUUGAUCUAGAUACCAAUAUAAUUAGAUGGGUUAGAUUGAUUGACCCACGAACCAAUGGAGACUGGUUGAAACGGUUUUCACUAUUUCUUUAAAAAUAUUUUUAUAUUUAUAUAAAUUAUUAAAUAAUUUAUUUAAUCAAACUAGACGAACAAGUUGAAAUGAAAAAUAGUUAUUUGACUGAUUUGACCAUCGGUCCAGUUCUAAAAACAUUGUUAUAGUUUAAAAAAAAAAGAGAAAUGGGUAGGGUAAAUAAAAUUAUUAUAUUAUAAAAAAAAUGUUAUUCGAAUAUUUAUUUGGGUAAAGUAUACUUGGAGUCACUCAACUUUUAGUAAAUUUCUUUAUUUCUCAUCGAAUUAUGAUCUCCAAUUAGCUAAUGGUGGUAGCUAGACUUGUUAAUUGGCUGGGUUACCUGCCCAAGUCCAACGGCCCGCUUGAAAAAUGGAAGGGUUUGGACAAAUACACGAUGCUGAAAAAUGGGUUUGGGUAAAAUUUAAGGCCUAUUUUAGUUAAACAAAAUUCUAGAACUCUUAUUCAAAAUCAUCUUGAUUCAUCCAGCAAUGAGGAAUUACCAAAACAUUUGACCCUUCACACAUUACUAUAUAAAGGAUUAGUUAAUCAAAUAAUAUAUGAGAAAUGGGUUGGCUUGAAAAUAAAUGGAUUGCUUGUCGUAGAAUAUUAUUCUCGUCAGAACUAAAAAUAUAAAAUAUAAAAAUUUUAUUUAAUACAAUAAAACAUUUAUUAUAUUUAUGGUAGUGUUUUUUAAUGAAUUUUUAAUGUGGUAUGAAACUCUUAGUUGAUGAAACUUAUUUAGUGGUAGAUUUAAUAGACUAUUGGGUCAUUAAUUUUGAAGUCACUAAUAAUAUUUAUGUUUAUUGCUGGGGUUCAAAUAAACGAGAAGCAUUCGUGAUAAGGAUCUCUCGUUGCGAGCUGGAGAUGGGAGAAAUGUAGCGGCAAAAUAAGUGGGAGAAGUACAUUUGUAUUUUGAUAAUUUUAGGAAAUUUAUUUUAAAUGAUAUUUUUCAUGUACCUAGUUUUAAGAGAAAUUUAAUUUCUAUUGCAUGUUUAUUAAAAAAGUUUUUCUAUGACUUCUAAUAAAAGGAUUGCAAUUCAUAAAAAUCAUGUUCUUAUCCGUAAUGGAUGAGUGCAAAAUAAUAUUUAUUUUAUUACACAAAAGUGCAACUCACUGCUUGAAACCAAACUCGUGAAUAAGAAACUUAAAACAUCUCACGCUAAUACUUAUGAUAUUUAAGACUUAGUCGCGUUAAACAAUAAAGAAUGAAUAAACUUUUUAAAGAUGGGACUUUAAGCGCACUUAAAGAGAUACAUUUUCCACAAUGUGAAUCUUGCUGCAAAGGUAAAAUGACCAAGCAAUCUUCUAAUGUAAAAGGUACAAUGGUUGUUCAAUCAUUAAAACUUGUGUAUACUAACAUAUGUGGUCCCAUGAUCAUUAGUGUGAGAUUUGGUUACAAUUAUUAUUUAAACUUUUUAGAUAUUUAUUCCAAAUAUUGGUAUAUGUACCUAAUGCACCACAAGAGUGAAACUUUUAAAAAAAUUCAAGAGUUUAGCGUGAAAGUUGUAACACCCCUUACCCGUGUCUGACACCGAGACAGGGUAAGAGGCGUUAUUGGACUUAAACAUAACAAAUCAUACAAAACUGGGCCAUAAAAUUUUGCUCAAAUUAAAACCAUCCAUUAACAUAUAUAUAUCGUCCCUUAUAUGGGCCCAAAAGGCCCAAAACAUACAUUGGGUGUGGUUCGGGACUAAACCGAGAACUUUCGAAACUUUUAGAACACUUAGAAAAAUUUUCUUAUUUUGGAGAGCCACACGCCCGUGUGGUCACACACGCCUGUGUCCUCAGCCCGUGUAACUCUUUAUUUAUGAUGUCAUCAACACAAUUAGGGUCACUCAGCCAAGUCAAACGUCAUUGUGCUUAGAUCGUGUGGUGAAUUAAAUUCUAAAUUCAGGUGCAGGCUUCACACGGCCUGGGCACACACCCAUGUCCUAAGGCCGUGUCCUUCACACGGCAGGGACACAUGCCCGCGUCUCUGCCCUUGUGUUUACUACUGGGCAUUUUGAUUUGCAUUUAUUAGGGUGCAGGGGACACACGGUCUAGACACAUGCCUAUGUGUCUACUCGUGUAGACAACUUUGAGGCUAUCUUCCAAGCCUUUUAUCACCCGUAAUAACACAUACACACUUAUACAUCUCAAUCACAACUUACAUAGCAUAAAUGAGAACUUACGCAUUCACAACCAUGGCCCAUGCACAUCAACUUCUUAUCAAUUAGUACUUGUUAAGACUCCAUAUUUUAUUUAAGCUAAGCUUACCAAAUCACAUGCAAUAUACAACAUCAUAUUUACUUCCAUUUUACACAUUUAUGCCUUAGUUGUUAUUAUGCCAUUUACUCACAAUUCCAUCAUCAAACAUCCAUGAUCAUAUCCAUAAUUCAUCUAUGCCAAAAUGAAUUAAACACAUCAUGAAUGACCUCAGCACAAGCAUGCAUAUAUGAAUAGGAUUAUAUCCCCAUAAUUAAAAUGAGCCAUAUCUCAUGGCCAUAUACUAAAUGAAUCAUCAAAUCAUUAUAAGCCAACACAUUUGGCUAACCCAAUAUGACAUAUAACAAAAAGACCAAGUCCCUAUACAUGCCAUACUCAAAAUACUUAAAUUCAUUAUACCUAAAAGAUUAGUUUGAUAGUGUGAAUCGAGCUCCGAUGUCCUUUGAUCCUCGAGCUAGCUUGGCGAUACUAUAAAAGAUGGAAAGGAAGGGGGUAAGCAUUAAGGCUUAGUAAGUUCACAUGCAAAUAAAUAGCAACAUCAUCAUGAAUAUAUAUAAAUACCAUUGACAUAACCUAGUUUAAAUAUAUGUCAUCAUAGAUUCAUAAGCAUAACUUACACAUCUUCAAUCUUACCAACAGGUCAUCAUAUACGGAGUUCAUUCAUAAGAGUUUUUCAUACAUACCUGUACCAACUCGUAAUACAUUCUCGUAUUUCCUCCUCAAUGACUUACUUGUUGAAUAACUCACUGAUUUACCUGUUGAACACUUGAAAUACUAUCGAUACACGGAAAACUUGCACGUGGUGCUUCAAACGUAGCCACAUGCUACCUCAUAUUACAAUUACACAUUACUCGCUCUCGAGCUAAUCACGGGUCUGUUCACACAAGCUGACAGUCAGGACAUAACUACUCGGGCUGCUCAUACAAGCUGACAAGUACCCGCAACACUUGCCGGGCUACCCAGCCACUGGUAAAACAUACAAGACUAGCACCCGGAUUCACAUAAACACAUAUCGCAUAUCUUAUGAGCUCAACACAUAUAGUUCCUAUUUACAUGUCACGUUAUAUCCUAAAUUAUUCCUAUGGUUCAAACGGGAUUUUCUCGAUAUCACAUAUUCGUCGAACUCAUUCACAAUGUCGUACUCAUAGACAAUAGCGUCAUUCAUACACUCGUCAUAAUAAUUAAACAUGGAGACUCAUUCAUAAAUAAAAUAUUAAAACAUGAUAUGUCAUUGCAUUAUUUACACAUGAACUUACCUUGGUACAAAAUAUGGACAAUUAAUUUGAUUUAGUCUAAAAUCUUGUUCUUUCCCCGGUCUAGGUCCGGACUCCGUUUUUCUUGAUCUAUAAUAGCAAAUUCAGCCCAUUAAUUCAUUACAUUAUUCAAAUCAGUCCAAAAAACUAUAUUUUGGAAAAAUUAUGAUUUUUCCCCUAAACUUUCACAUAUUUGCAAAUUAGUCUCUAGGCUCGUAAAAUGAAAUGUGUUCAUUUUCUUUGUUACCCAAGCCUAGCCGAACUUAUAACAUGCUCAUAGAAGCCCACAUUUCUCAUUAAAUCAUACAUCUUACUACCCAUUUUACAAACUUUACAAAUAAGUCCUUUUUAACCAUUUUCAAUAGAAAUCACUUGGUAAAAGAUGUUUAUCACACAUCAAAUAUUCAUAUUCAUCCAUUAAACAUCAAAACACAUGCGAUUCAUACAUGGGUCAAAUUUCAAAUAUGAAUCCUACUUAAAAAUAUGGCUAGAAAUAGGUAAAUCGGGUUACGAGGGUUUCAAAAAUGUAAAGAGCAUUAAAAACGGGGCUAAGAUGUUCUUACUAUUGAGCUUGAAAGUAGAAGAAACCCUAGCUAUGGAACCCUUGAGAUUUUCGGCCAAGGUGGGAGAAGAUGGACACAAUUUUUGACUUAUUUUCCUUUUUUAUUCUUUUAUUAACCAAAUGACAAAAACGCCCUUAAGGCUUUUCUUUCAAACUUUUCCUAUUCAUGCCCAUUUUUGUCCAUAGAUAUAGAAAUUGGGAAAUUUUCUAUUUAAGGACAUCUAAUUAACAAUCCAUGGCAAUUUCAUGCUCAAAGCUUCUAGAACUCGCAUUUUGCAAGUUUUGCAAUUUAGUCCUAAAUGUCAAAUUGGACAUUUUAUCAAUAAAAUUUUUUCAUGAAAUUUUCACACAAGCAUGCAAUCAUAUCAGAGGCCUCAUAAUAAUCAUAAAACAAUUAUUUAUAUUUUGGAUUUGUGGUUUCAAAACCACUGUUUCGACUAGACCCUAAUUCAAGAUGUUACAAAAGUGGAAAAACAAUUAGAUUUACCCAUUAAGACACUUCGGUUUGACCGACGUGAGGAAUACUUAUCGGACAAGUUCAUAGGAUACCUCAUAGAGAAUGAGAUAUUAUCCCAAUUAACUGUAUAGGGUACUCCACAACAGAAUAGCGUGGCACAGAGAUGGAAUAAAACCUUGCUUGAUAUGAUUUAUUCAACGUUAAGUUAUUCAAAACUGUCGAUAUCAUUCUGGGGGUAAGCAUUACUAAUGACUUCCUAUAUUCUAAGUUACAUACAAACUAAGGUAGCACCUUAGGAUCCAUAUGAAAUGUGGCACAACAUGAAGCCAGACUUAAAUCAUUUUAGGAAUUGGGGAUGUCCAACCUAUGUGUUGGCUAAAGAUGCAAAAAAGUUGGAAGCACGAAUAGAAUUGUGCAUGUUUGUUGGCUGUCCAAAACGGAGUAAGGGUGGAUAAUUUUAUAACCUAAAAUACCUAAUAGUUAAGGUUUCAACUUAUGCUAAUUUUUUUGAGAAAAUCUACAUUAACAAUUUUAAACUUCAAAGUAGAUUGUUACUUCAGAAAAUUUCAGGAAAAUGAGCUUAUUUUUCGAUGACUAGUAAGUCAUUUUUUGUGAGACAAAUGCACCCGAAAGAAAAUGAAUAAGAGGAUAAUAAUUUAUAAACAGUGAUCUAAAACAUUUUACUCAUACCAUCAUUUUAAUUGAUUUUAUUAGUGGAUUUAAUUUUCUAUUUUACUUUUUUUAGUGACUCUUUAAAUAAUUGAGACCAUUAAAAAUAAACCAUAACAACUAAAAUUUAAAUUUUAAUAUUCUAGAAAAACCAUAUAUUUUAAUUUCAAUUUUAAAUUUAAAUUGUUCAAAGAUUAAGCUAUUUUCUUGGCUUUGUAAUCCCAUUUCAGUUUUUUUUACCACAAAUUAUCUUUAUCUCAAAAAUGGUAAACCUAACAACAUCCUUUUACCAAAUUUACACAUGUACGCGUAUUGUCCAAAACUCUUGGCAACUAAUAAUCCAACUUCUAUAAAUUGUGCCAAAGUUCAUUGGAAAAAACACACCAACACAAAUUACCAUUAUUAGUCGCCCAGCUAGCUAACUUUUUUAUUUAAAAAAACAUGAAGAGAUUUUCUCUUAUUGUUUUGUGCGCGGUGACUCUAGUGGUGGUGUUGUUUUCAGGUGCAGAGGCAGCAGCGCCAGCGCCAAAAUGUGAUAACCCCUUAGAGUAUAGCUCAUGCUUGAACGCGUAUAAGAAGCCACCUCCAUCAGCCGGUUGUUGCCAGAAGAUGAAGGAACAAGCACCAUGCUAUUGCGAGUACAUGAAGAUAGAAGAUAUCAAACGUGUUUUUGACAGAGUUGAGAUUGCGAAAAUGGCUAAAUUGUGUGGAGUUUCAUAUUCUUUCACCUGCUAGAAUCCCGUUUGGUUUCAUUUGACUAUCUCUGGUUGGGAUAACCUGGCAUCUCAAUAAAAGAAAAUUUUAUUAGAAAACUAUUUUUUUUACUCAUAAUUUCGACUAAAAUGUACUUGUGUCCUUUUUUUUUUUGGAAUGAUACUGGUCAUUUGCUAUUAUUUACCUUUAUUGUCUUGAUCAUGUUACAUAUGUGCUAAAAGAGCUACACAAUAAUCUAGAUUUUGUUUGAAUCGUAUUGGGUUGGUUGGAUUUGGAAAUUGAUCUAGAUACCAAUAUAAUUUGAGGGGUUAGAUUGGUUGACCCACGAACCAAUGGAGACUAGUUGAAAUGGUUUUCUCUAUUUCUUAAAAAAUAUUUUAAUAUUUAUUUAAAUUAUUAAAUAAUUUAUUUAAUCAAACUAGACGAACAGGUCAAAAAUAAAAAAUAGUUAUUUGACUGAUUCGACCAUUGGUCCAAUUUUGAAAACAUUGUUAUAGUUAAAAAAACAAGAGAAAUGGGUAGGGUAGAUCAAAUUAUUAUAUUAUAAAAAUAAAUGUUAUUCGAAUAUUUAUUUGGGUAAAGUACACUAGUAGUCACUCAACUUUUAGUAAAUUUCUAUUUUUCUCAUCGAAUUAUGAAAAAUCACAAAAUAAUCACCCAACUAUUCAAUUUUUUUUGAGCUCCAGUUAGCUAAUAGUGGUAGUUAGACUUGUUAAUUGGUCGGGUUACCUACCCAAGUCCAGUGGCCUGCUUGAAAAAUGGAAGGGUUUGGACAAAUACACGAUGCCGAAAAAUAGGCUUGGGUAAAAGUUAAGGCAUAUUUUCUAUAUGGGUCGGGAUUUGUGCAAAUUAUUUUGACCCGUUCCCAGUCCGACCCGAAUAUAUUAUGUUAUAAAAAUAAUUAUAUUAAUUAUAUAUGUUAAAUAAUUAUUAUAUAUUUUUUAUAUUUAUAUUAAAUUACUAAGCCAAUAACAACUAAACCCAUUACCCAAACCUUAAAAAAAUCCUUACCCAACUAAAUAAUUGGCUUCGACUAUUCCUAAAGCCUGUCAAUUAGUUAACCAUAAACAUAUUUUAGUUAAUGGCGUACAAUAGAUAUACCAAGUCAUCAUUGCAAUCUUCGAGAUAUUAUUUUAGCGGCGGAUGAGUAAAAUUCUAGAACUCUGAUUCAAAAUUAUUUUGAUUCAUCCACCAAUGAGGAGUUGCCAAAACAUUUGACCCUUCACACAUUACUAUAUAAAGGAUUAGUCAAUCAGAUAAUAGAUAGGAAAUGGGUUGGUUUGAAAAUAAAUGGAUUGAUUGCCGUAGAAUAUUAUUCUCAUCAAAACUCAACAUAUUUUUAAAAAUUUUAUUUAAUAAUGUGGUAUGAAACUCUUAGUUGAUGUAACUUAUUUAGUGCUAGAUUCAAUGUACUAUUAGGUCAUUAAUUCUAAAGCCAUUAAUCAUAUUUAUUUUUAUUGUAGGGGUUCAAGUAGAACAGAAGCCUUCGUGAUAAGGAUCUCUUGUUGCAAACUAGAGAUGAGAGAAAUGUAGCGGCAAAAGUAGUGGGAGAAAUACAUUUGUAUUUGAUAAUUUUAGAAAAAUUAUUUUCAAUGACAUUUUUAUGUACCUAUUUUUUAUGUGACUUCUAAUAAAGGAACUACAAUUCAUAAAAAUCAUGUUCUUAUCCGUAAUGGAUGGAUGCAAAAUAAUAUUUAUUUUAUUAAACAAAAGAGCUACUCACUACUUGAAAUUGAACUUGUGAAUAAGAAACUUAAAACUUCUCACUCUAAUACUUAUUAUAUUUAAGACUUAGUCGUGUUAAACAAGAAAGAAUGAAUAAACUUUUUAAAGAUGAGACUUUAAGCUCACUUAAAAAGACAUAUCUUCUACAAUGUGAAUCUCGCUUGAAAGGUAAAAUGAUCAAGAAAUCUUCUAAUGCAAAAGGUACAAGGGUUAUUCAAUCAUUAAAAAUUGUGCAUACUGACUUAUGUGAUCCCAUGAACAUUAGUGUGAGAUUGGUUACAAUUAUUAUGUAAACUUUUUAAAUAUUUAUUCUAGAUAUUGUUAUGUGUAUCUAAUGCACCACAAGAGUGAAAUUUUUAAAUAUUUUCAAGAGUUUAAUGUGAAAAUGGAGAAACAAUUAGGUUUAACUAUUAAGACACUUCGAUUUGACUGACGUGGGGAAUCCUUAUGGGACGAGUUAAUAGGAUACCUCAUAGAGAAUGAGAUACUAUCCCAACUAACUAUGCGGGGUAAUCCACAACAGAAUAGCGCGGUAGAGAAAUGGAACAAAACCUUACUUGAUAUGGUUUAUUCAAUGUUAAGUUAUUCACAACUGUCGAUAUCAUUCUGGGGUUAAGCAUUACUAACGACUUGCUACAUUCUAAAUUACAUUCAAACUAAGGCAGUGCCUCAGGAUCCAUACGAAAUGUGGCACGACAUGAAGCCAGGCUUAAAUCAUUUUAGGAAUUGGGAAUGUCAAACCUACGUGUUGGCUAAAGAUGCAAAAAAGUUGGAAGCACGGAUAGAAUUGUGCAUGUUUUUUGGCUGUCCAAAACGGAGUAACGGUGGAUAAUAUUAUAACCCAAAAGACCAAACGGUUAAGGUUUUGACUUAUGCUACUUUCUUUGAGGAAAUAUACAUUAACAAUUUUAAACUUCGAAGUGGAUUGUUACUUCAAAAAAUUUCAGGAAAAUGAACUUAUUUUUUGAUGACUUGUAAGUCAUUUUCUGUGAAACAAAUGCACCUGGAGGAAAAUGAAGAAGAGGAUAAUAAUUUUAUAAAUAGUGAUCUAAAAAAUUUUACUCAUACCAUAAUUUUAAUUUAUUUUAUUAGUGAUUUUCAUUUUCUAUUUUACUUUUUUUAGUGACUCUUUAAAUAAUUGAGACCAUAAAAAAUAAACCAUAACAACUAAAAUUAAAAAUUUAAUAUUCUAAAAAAAACCAUAUAUUUUAAUUUCAAUUUUAAAUUUAAAUUGUUCAAAGAUUAAGCUAUUUUUCUCGGCUUUGUAGGCACAUUUCAAAAUUUUUUUACCACAAUUUAUCUCUCUCAAAAAUAGUAAACCUAACAACAUCCUUUUACCAAAUUUACACAUUUACACGUAUUGUCCAAAACUCUCGGCAACUAAUAAUCCAACUGCUAUAAAUUGUGCCAAUUUUAUUGGAAAAAACAUGCCAACACAAAUUACCAUUAUUAGUCGCCUAGCUAGCAAACUUUUUAUUUAAAGAAACAUGAAGAGGUUUUCCCUUAUUGUUUUGUGCGUGGUGACUCUAGUGGUGGUGUUGUUUUCGGAUGCAGAGGCAGCGCCAGCGCCGAAAUGUGAUAACCCCUUGGAGUAUAGCUCAUGCUUGAACGCGUAUAAGAAGCCACCUCCAUCAGCCGGUUGUUGCCAGAAGAUGAAGGAACAAGCACCAUGCUAUUGCAAGUACAUGAAGAUAGAAGAUGUCAAACGUGUUUUUGACAGAGUUGAGAUUGCGAAAAUGGCUAAAUUGUGUGGAGUUUCAUAUUCUUCCACCUGCUAGAAUCCCGUUUGGUUUCAUUUGACUAUCUCUGGAUGAGAUAACCUGACAUCUCAAUAAAUGAAAAUUUUAUUUGAAAACUAUUUUUUUACCCAUAAUUUCGACUAUAAUGUACUUGUGUUCUUUUUUUUUUGGAAUAAUACUGG